rnacentral:rRNA from 1 species
AUUGAACGCUAGCGAUAGGCUUAACACAUGCAAGUCGAGGGGCAGCAUGAACAAAGCUUGCUUUGUUUGAUGGCGACCGGCGCACGGGUGCGUAACACGUAUGCAACUUACCCAUAAAACAAGGAUAACCCGGAGAAAUUCGGACUAAUACUCGAUGGUAUUAUUGGGAGGCAUCUUCUAAUAAUUAAAGAUUUAUCGAUUAUGGAUAGGCAUGCGCAUGAUUAGCUAGUUGGUGAGGUAACGGCUCACCAAGGCGACGAUCAUUAGGGGUUCUGAGAGGAAGGUCCCCCACACUGGUACUGAGACACGGACCAGACUCCUACGGGAGGCAGCAGUGAGGAAUAUUGGUCAAUGGACGAGAGUCUGAACCAGCCAAGUCGCGUGAAGGAAGACUGCCCUAAGGGUUGUAAACUUCUUUUGUGUGGGAAUAAAAAGAGGGACGUGUCCCUCAUUGUAUGUACCAUACGAAUAAGGAUCGGCUAACUCCGUGCCAGCCGCCGCAGUAAUAC